CGCUUUGACCAAAGACGUGAGGGAGACCAAAUCCCCAACACCUCUCCCUGCUAUCGCCCCUUGCCCGCCCCAUCUCCGUCGCCGACCGUGAGGUCUCCAUGGACGGCACUGCGGGGAGCUCCCGGAUGGGUCGGACGCCGGCCAUGGUCUCCACCGCAUCGCUGGGUGGCGUGGCUCCCGCCGGGACGGCGGCCUCAGGGCGGCAUGCGGCGGCUUCGGGGCGGAGCUGGCGCGGGCCGGGGACGGCGACCCCCGGCCAGGGCAGGCGUGUGCCGGCGGCGGCGCCCUUGGGAUGGAGAAGGCGCGUGUCUGGGACGACGACCUUGGGGCGGAAGCAACGACCUUGGGGCGGAGCACACGCGGGUUGGCGGCCCCAAAGCCGCCGCAUGCCGGGGACGGCGACCCUCGGCCAGGGAAGGCGUGUGCCGGCGGCGGCGCCCUUGGAACGGAGAAGGCGCUGGCCUGGGGCGACGACCUUGGGGCGGCGACCUUGGGACGGUGACAGCGACCUUGGGGCGGAGCACAGGCGGGCUGGCGGCGGCCACGUUGGGGCGGAGCAGGAAGGGGCCACCGGCAGCCCCGUCGGAGUGGAGCAAGCAAGCAAAAGGACGCCCGAUGCAGAUUGCGGGAGCCGGCCGUGAUUGUCGCCCCUGGUGCUUUGCUCGCUGCCGCUCCACGCCAUGGAGGUUUCCACAAGUGUAGACGCGGCGGUGCCCUCUACAUGUUAGGUGAGCUAUCUGGCGACUCAGCGAUAGCGACGACCAGCUUGCUGAGCACGAGCAUGAUCGACAUUCCGGCUACUACUGACACGGCCAGCUAGCAUAUUUGUAUGAAGAAUUGGGGAUCUCUCAAUUGGAGUUUCUCAAUGAGGAAGGAGCACAGGAUGGCAUGUGGAGAGUACUCCUGGACACACUUGCAUAAGAGACUGGGCAGGUUUGCAUGCAAUGCCAUUUAGCGAUAAAUGCAACUUUUGCUUUUUUCGAUCCAUCUGCAGUCGCAUGAUCCUAGAAUCAGCGAAUGACUUACCUUUAGAAAUUGUUUCCCUCCUUUCUACAGGAAGACAAUGAAUGGUUGGCCACCUGGAUUUGUUAUUGUUUUAUUCUAGAAUGAUAUAUUGUGGUUUGGAAGUGCAUCCAUUUCAAAAGUUAAGAUGCACACAACACUUCCCAGAUACAGGAAUCUGGUGUUGAAUUAAGAGACUGGUUUAGAAAUACUAGAAGAAUUCUAGACUGAUCUCUUAGCUUAUACUUUUCACUAAAGUAGUGUCAGAAAGUGUGCCUAUCUUACUUCCCUGUCCUUUUCCCUCUUGAUCAUGCUAUUCUUGAGAAUAUAAAUUAUGAUCAACUGGGAUUUUCUUCCUAGCCCCAUUGAGAUGCAUGUUCAUUGAUAUUCUAUUUAAUUGUGCAUGGGAUGUUCCGAGCGCAUCAAUGUUAUGGGAUUCUAGACUCCAAGAGCUGCUUGGAUGGAAGAGCGUUCCCAUUUUAGAUUUAUGAAAAUCUAGGAUUACAGCGGGGCCAAAUAGCCCUAAGUUUACAUACUAUGGUGUUCUUGAUAAAAUGGACAACGUAGCUUAUGUCUCUCUCCUGGAUCAUGGAUUUUUUUCAAGCAAGGCUAGAUUAUUUGUGGUAGCCUGCAAGUGCUCUGUGUAAUCACCACAUUCAGUGGUAAAGUUUCUAGAAAGUGUGUUUGAAUAUCUUUUCGGCUACCACAACAGUAAGAUAUAUAUUGGUGUUGUUCAUGAAUGGCAGGCCCUUCCUUGAUUUUUUAUCAUAAAAGAUAAAGUAGCUUUAUCUAAACGUUUCCCUCUAGCAGCUCAAGAAGUUUUA